UUUCCGUAGGUGAACCUGCGGAAGGAUCAUUGUCGAAACCUGCCCAGCAGAACGACCCGCGAACGUGUUAAAAGAACCGAACGAUUCGGUCGGGGAGAGCGCGGGUCCCCGCCCCGGCGGCCCCGCGUUCCCCCGCCCGACCUAACAAAGAACCCCGGCGCGAUCUGCGCCAAGGAACUACAACGGGGGGAUCGUCGCCGCCGCGCGCGCGCGGUUGGCGGCCGAUCCCUUGCUUUAAGAUCCAAAACGACUCUCGGCAACGGAUAUCUCGGCUCUCGCAUCGAUGAAGAACGCAGC
rnacentral:misc_RNA from 1 species